rnacentral:lncRNA from 1 species
GAGGAAGAUAUUUCCAGGCUAAGAGCUGAAAGAUAAGGCUCAAAUGGAGUCCUGUUUUGAAUCUCCCAUCUGUCAUCCCGGAUCCCAGACGUGCUGCCUGCCUUGCCCUCGGCUGCCUGAUGCCCCUUGACCCCUCUCCAGACCUCCUGGACUCUUUCUUUGCCACUGCUCUGACCUCCACAUACUUUGAGUGCUUCUGGUCCUCCUGGUAAAUCUCGAGAUGUCCUGUCUCCAGCUGCUCACAGCUCUGGGGUGACUGUGACUGUGGCUCUGGCUCCUGCCAGUUGCUCAGAGAUGAGGCACCUGUGUGCUGCGUUUUGGGGAGCUGGGCUUCUACAUGCUUCUGCCACAAGUGGGAACACUUGUAGUGGCUUCCAGGAAGACAACCUCAGGGGUUACCUCCACGGCCACCAACUCCAGAGGGCUGUCUGCUCUACACCUCUGCUCAGUCCACUUCUGGCAGGAGCGGAGGACUUCCGUGCCAUACAGAAAGUCUCACUGGAAUUGUGUCUGUUGAAGAACCCCACAUCCUAGCACAGAUUUGGAAGGCUGGAUUCCUUGCUGGCAGCAGUAGGCUCAUCAGAACAGGAGGUCCAGGCUGCCUCUCAAAAUCCAGAGUCAAAAGGAGCAGAGGCAGGUAAGACUUAGACAAAUAGGCCUCAUAAGACCAAGAGGAUUCGAGAACCUCUGCACUCUGAGGAGGGUCACCAUUCCUUGACCUAACAAACCAAGGGCUGCUGGUUACCCCCAGGCUUGUUGCAGGAUCUGAAGGAGCCCGUCUUCAAAUCGCACUAACCUGGGCUCAGGAGGGAGAGCAAAGGACGGAGUACUGAAAUAACUUAUCUGU